GCGGGCGUAGCUCAAUGGUAGAGCCCCAGCUUCCCAAGCUGGUCGUGAGGGUUCGAUUCCCUUCGUCCGCUCCA
rnacentral:tRNA from 1 species